rnacentral:rRNA from 1 species
GCUGACGAGCGGCGGACGGGUGAGUAAUGCCUGGGAAUAUGCCUUAGUGUGGGGGAUAACUAUUGGAAACGAUAGCUAAUACCGCAUAACGUCUUCGGACCAAAGAGGGGGACCUUCGGGCCUCUCGCGCUAAGAUUAGCCCAGGUGGGAUUAGCUAGUUGGUGAGGUAAAGGCUCACCAAGGCAACGAUCCCUAGCUGGUCUGAGAGGAUGAUCAGCCACACUGGAACUGAGACACGGUCCAGACUCCUACGGGAGGCAGCAGUGGGGAAUAUUGCACAAUGGGGGAAACCCUGAUGCAGCCAUGCCGCGUGUAUGAAGAAGGCCUUCGGGUUGUAAAGUACUUUCAGUCGUGAGGAAGAGUGUGUAGUUAAUAGCUGCAUGGUUUGACGUUAGCGACAGAAGAAGCACCGGCUAACUCCGUGCCAGCAGCCGCGGUAAUACGGAGGGUGCGAGCGUUAAUCGGAAUUACUGGGCGUAAAGCGCAUGCAGGCGGUCUGUUAAGCAAGAUGUGAAAGCCCGGGGCUCAACCUCGGAACCGCAUUUUGAACUGGCAGA